AUCCUACUUCCUCCGUUCCGAAUUACUUGUCUUGGAUUUGUCUAGAUACGGAUGUAUCUAGACUCAUUUUAGUGCGAGAUACCUCCGUAUCUACACAAAUCUAAGACAAGUAAUUUGGAACGGAGGGAGUAUAUA
rfam:Triticum aestivum genome assembly, contig: Triticum_aestivum_CS42_TGACv1_scaffold_211065_3AS